CGUAGGGGGCAAGCGUUAUCCGGAUUUACUGGGUGUAAAGGGAGCGUAGACGGCGAGGCAAGUCUGAAGUGAAAGCCCGGGGCUUAACCCCGGGACUGCUUUGGAAACUGUUUUGCUAGAGUGCUGGAGAGGUAAGUGGAAUUCCUAGUGUAGCGGUGAAAUGCGUAGAUAUUAGGAGGAACACCAGUGGCGAAGGCGGCUUACUGGACAGUAACUGACGUUGAGGCUCGAAAGCGUGGGGGAGCAAACAGGAUU
rnacentral:rRNA from 1 species